rnacentral:rRNA from 1 species
ACGAAGUCUUCGGACUGAGUGGCGGACGGGUGAGUAACACGUGAGAACCUGCCUUAAGGUCGGGGAUAACAGUUGGAAACGACUGCUAAUACCGGAUGUGCCUACGGGUGAAAGAUUUAUUGCCUAAAGAUGGGCUCGCGUCUGAUUAGCUAGUUGGAGUGGUAAUGGCACACCAAGGCGACGAUCAGUAGCUGGUCUGAGAGGGUGAUCAGCCACACUGGGACUGAGACACGGCCCAGACUCCUACGGGAGGCAGCAGUGGGGAAUUUUCCGCAAUAGGCGAAAGCCUGACGGAGCAAGACCGCGUGAGGGAGGAAGGCUCUUGGGUUGUAAACCUCUUUUGUCAGGGAAGAACACAACGACGGUACCUGACGAAUCAGCAUCGGCUAACUCCGUGCCAGCAGCCGCGGUAAUACGGAGGAUGCAAGCGUUAUCCGGAAUUAUUGGGCGUAAAGCGUCCGCAGGUGGUUGUACAAGUCUGCUGUCAAAGCGCGGAGCUUAACUCCGUAAAGGCGGUGGAAACUGUGCGACUAGAGUUCGGUAGGGGUCGCGGGAAUUCCCAGUGUAGCGGUGAAAUGCGUAGAUAUUGGGAAGAACACCGGUGGCGAAAGCGCGCGACUGGACCGAGACUGACACUCAUGGACGAAAGCUAGGGGAGCGAAAGGGAUUAGAUACCCCUGUAGUCCUAGCCGUA